GCGGUCAGGGAGCUCGACCGGCGGUCUGCAGCCGAGCGCACGCAGCAGCCAUGGGAGGAAGAACGGCUAGGCACCGGCCAACAGGGGAGCUCGGCUGGAGAGCAGCGAGCAGGAACAGUCGGCCAUGGAUUGGGCGCCUGGCGAGCAGACAGAGGGAGGAAGCGAGGGCGCUUGGGGGAGGAGAGUGACUGCGCGCGCAGGAAGCUCUGCUGGAGGAGACGGACCACAUCUGGGCACCAGAGACGAGCGGCUGGGCGAACAGGGAGGGUGGUCGAGCGCCAUGGGAACAGGGGCUGGGCGCCGAGCGGAAGGGAGCCGGAGCGCGGCUGGAGGGAGAA
rnacentral:misc_RNA from 1 species